rnacentral:lncRNA from 1 species
GUGUUCUAAGUCUACUACAGUGUAAAAGGAUCGAUUUACAAUGUCAUCAUUGGUAUAACAUAAGGAUAUCUACAAAAUCAUAGUAUGUAUCUGUUGCGAGCCAAAACUUCCGAUCCUCGACCUAGUCAAAGAUCCUUCUCGGGGAGCGUGUCGGAAUGAAAAACGACUUCUGAUAGUGACCCUCGAAGUUUGCGCCCUUCGAUUGAUCAAAGCGAUUCGGCUGAUGAGGGAUCGGAUCAGCCGGGUGCGAAAUCUCUACAGUAAAUUCGGUUCUGCUGGAUGAACCGAAUUGAUGAAAUGCACAGAGUUUUUGGUCGUCUGAUGAGCUGAAUAUAUAGAAUACACAGUGACUGGUCGGCUGAAAGAGCCGAAUGCCUUUAUAUAUUAAUAAAGCAGAGUGUGCCCGAAGGGCAUACAGACUCUGAAAAUCUAGUUUACAACAGAAUGUGCCCGUGGGGCAUACAGACUCCAGAGAUCUAACUUAAAAACUACUCCUAGGAAAGCUGUAAAUGUGGAUAAAAAGAUUACAUGUAGACUACUCCUAGAAAAGCGAUAAAUGUAGAAAAGAAAAGAUAUGAAAAUGCGGUGGUCUUCUCGUUCAGGGGAGAGAAAGACCUCUAUUACAGGCUUUGAAGUUACUAUUUAUAGUGAUGUCUUCUCAGCCCACAUUAUUGGUCGAUUUUUAAUAGUGGGGGAAGUGGUGUA